CCAAAUAAUGUACAUGGGCCAAAAAAAGAAAAAGAAGGAAAAAGGACAAAUUUGUCAUAUCCUACUCUUCUGUCUUGUAUCAAAUAUCUUUAGAAUUGUUUGCUUUGCUCCAGUGUUUUUUCUCUGCUCAUGUAGAAAUGCACCCAUAUAUGUGAGUUUCAAUGGCUUAUCAGCAUUUCACAUAUAGAAUGUACUUAAUUGAAUCCCUAUUGUAUAUUCAGCAUAUUUUAUUAUUUCACUGUUAUAAGUAAUAUGAUGAUAAUUCAUAUAAACAUGCCUUUAAACACAUCUCUGAUUACUUCCUCAAAGUAGAAUCCUAACAGUGAAAUUGCUGAGUAGAAGGGCAUGCACUUUUCUCUUUUGAGAAUUUUGCUGCAUAUUUCCAAGUUGCCCUCAAGAAUUGUUUUUUUCUACUUAUGCUAUCACCAGUGAUGGAUGAGAUUGCUAGCUGGCCCCACAUUCUUGUCAACACGUGGUAUUUACGUUAUUUUCGAUCUUAAUAUGAUGUUAUUGUUAUUAUUAUAUUUUUAUCAGUAUCCUUGGCAUCAUUCUCCUGUGGUUUUUUUUUUUUUUGGUUUUUCAUUUUUUUUUUUGUCCUUUCUCACCUACUUGGUGAGAAAAUGCAGGUUGCGAAACAGGAAACCAUCACUCUUUGAAAGAGAAUUCUUUUCUCUAGAGGCUCAAAAAGCUAUUUCAUAAAGAAAUGUUGUUCAAGUCUCUAAUUUUAAACAUCCCAAUCACCACUGGCCUCUUGUAGGCCUCGGGCCUACAAGGAAGUCUGCGCAGCCUAAGGAGAACGUUAAUGUAUGCAGUGUUUUCUUUUUAUUCCCUUUGGCGACCUGUGCCUUUGGGAUGUCUUUGAGAUGUUUGAUGCUUUUUGUAGCUAAAGUUAUUGAUCAGGGCAGCAAAAGGAGUGCUGGCGAUGGCCAGAAGAAAUGCUUUCACCUGAAUUUGCAGCCAAUAUCCAAGAGGUCUGCUCAGCUUCAAAGAGUCUCACGGGUCUCAAUGCUUCUGACUGACCUGAUCCCAAAGGAAAAAAAUCAAGACAACCUGGUACUUAAUGAACUUAGAAAAGAGUAUCAUGAGACACGUUUAUAGUUGUAAAAAAGUAGUUUGAUUUUGCAGUCACUCUGCUCUUCCAUUAAGUUUUAAGUUCUGAUGUUUACAAGCAUGUUGAAAAUGUGUAAAAAUGGUCCUCUAAGACCAGUGUAGCAGCCAGCUCACCACUUUCCCCCAGUUUUCCUUCUGGGGAAAUGGCAGGCUUGGAAAACUUGGGGUCUUGGGGUUAGGUAGGGCCCUGUGACUGCUCCAGGUGCAUCAGCUAUGAGAAGAGGUGACCCGGGUCACUUCCAGGCUGGGGCAUCUAAUCGUCGGAGAGGGACCCUCCAGCUUCCUCCCCCUCUGCCACAGGGAUAAGAACAAUGUGAAGUCCCCGCGUAGGGACAGCGUGGGGCAGGUCCUGCAGAGUCUCCACAGGACAUGAGGCAGACCUGGCGAAGCACCUCAUGUUGCUCUGAGACCCUGAGGCUUUUGAGCUACGUCAUUGGUAAUGGUUUGUUACUGCAGUAUAACCUCACCCAUGAUAACAGACAUGUAGCAUGAUACAGACAUGUACCCAUGAUACAGGCAUGUUGAAAUUUUUUCCCUAAUGAAUAUUUAAUGAUGAUUACAAACCUACAAAAUAAAAAUCAUCAUUGAUUACAAGAACUGAAUUUCUCAUGAAAGAAACAUGCAAAGUAUCUUUAAAAGCUGAAAGUAUUUAAGCCAUUCCCAGUCCUAAUUGUUAUUGAAGUUUGUAUGCCAAUUUCUCUUUCUAAUCCAAAUAAAAUUUCGUGCACCAAAUUAAAAACUGAAAAGGAGUAAUAACAUGUAUGGUGCACCUACCACAUGCCAUAUAUAUUGCUAGAUAAUUUGGAUCUUUUAUUUUACUUAAGACAUCAUAGUAACCAUGGGAAGCAAAUGCCAUUUCUAUUCAAGGGGAAAAGAAAAAAAACAUCCUCCAAUGCUCAGAGAUGGAAAGAUUCGACCUUGAGCCCAGGUUGGUCUUAAUUUGUUGCCCUUGUUAUUUUUCCUCCUUUACAAGUGGUUUACUACUUUAUUUAUUAAUACAAUUACAUAAGUUAGUGUAUUACUCACAUACUUGAAAAAUAUACAAACAUUUUGUUCUGGAGACAAAACAGAAACAUGGUUCAAUUCAGAUCCAGUCUUUAUAGUUAUUGGAAUUGCCAACUCCAUGAACUCUGUUGAGACUAAAGUUACUUGGGACAAAAAUAUAAAAUGUUUCCCUAGUCCUUCUUGUUAAAUAAAUAUCUGUAUUUUCCCUGACUUCAGGUGUUAGCAUCAUGAAUGUACAUUCAGCCCUUUGUCUAAUUCAUGUAAGCGUUUUUGUUAACUGUUUCAGCAGCUGACUUUAUUUUUGCAGUAGUUGAAACAAUUUUAUAUUUGCAAGCCAGAUACCAUUCAGACUGUGCUACUGAUGGCCUGUUAUAGCAUCCUUCCUCUCUGGACAGUGGUUUAACUUUUCCAAUGCACCUGUCAAAAAAGCAGCAGCAGCAGAUGGAGAAGAAGGAAAGAAAAAGAGAGAGAAAGAACCAUUCGUCAUAGCUGAGAUUGUCAAACUCUUGGCUGAAGUGCCUGUACUGUUUUAAGUUCUCUUUGCCUAGCAUCUCUGUGUCCACUUAUCUCCACCCAGAAGGGUCCUGCUCUCUGGACACACAAGGCAGUUAGUGCCCAUCAAAGCUUUACAGACACAGCACAUCAGAAUUCCAACCCUUGAUUCUAAGCAGCCCAUCUCUUCAGUGUCCUUCAAAUGUACCUUGGCUAAUCCUAUGCCAAUCUGCUCAGGAUCAGUAAUAUUAAUGAAUGCAUUCAUUUCUUUGUGCAGUGUUUUGCAAAUCACAUUUAUUAACUUCAUUGCAUAGGAGACCAUGUUUGUGUGUUAGUGGGGAAUCUUGAAGGAGAGGAAAGUUAGGGACUCCCUUCCUCCUUGUGGUUCUGUCCGUCUGCAGGAAGCUGUGCAAAUCAAAACUCCAGCUUCUCCCUGUAGACCAUCUUCUUUCUCCCUCUUUCUGGUAGCACGUGGUACCCACAUCACCUGUGGUUGCUCCCAAUAAGAUCUUAGGCAUUUGCAGGAAUGUGAGCUAGGAGAGAGAGCAAGGCUUUGGAGCCAGACAGAAGGUAGUUUGAAGCCCAGCUCUGCCACUCAAAUGUGUGACGUUGGGCAGAUUGCCUCGCCCUUGGGCACUGUGGUUUGUUGGUCCACGAGUGGAGAUAAUAGAAGCCACCUCAUAUGCUAUCACACAGAUGACACAUGGGAAUGCGCAUCAAGGACUUUGCCCAAAACCUGGCUAAAGAAUGGCUGCGCUCUGUCUCUCCUUCAGUCCUUCGAAGGGAGAGAGACCUCAGCCCACCCACCCGCCUUUUUCCUCUCUCCUUCGCCACAGCAUUCAUGGAAUGCUGAGUACAUGGGGAGAUGCAAUCAGUAUUCUCUGAAUUGAAUCAUAUACAGGCCGAUCCUCAGAUACUGCCCUGGAGAAAAACUCCACCCCAGGGUGGGCAGCCGCCCUGCCUUGCCUGCCAGUCAGAAGUGUCCUUUGAAGUGCAGAGACAUCUUUCAUAGCGAGGAGUUAGACCUGAGCGGCACAGGGAUGUGUCAGAAUUAUGCCAGUUUCCAAUAGCACCAGGAAAGUCCUGGAGGUAACCAGAAAAUUGAAUCCUUGGUGUCUGUCACUCCAUGUGUGCAAAAGACCAUGAGUCAUUUUACCUGGAAAAGCAAAAACCCAUUUUGUGGACUGCACCCGUUGUUUAGGAAAGGGCUUGUGGAAAAGGAGAAUAUUCGCUUAUAAUUAAGAAGCAAAAUAUGUUUUCUGCUGCUGCCCUGAGGGUUUUUUUUUUUUUCCCCUUUUGUUUUUGUGUUUUCCAGUUCCCUAUUGGUUUUGAUUAAUUUUGCCCUAGAUUCAUGAGCUUUGUGAACCUGGAGACUUUUUUUUUUUAAUUUAAAUAAAUAAAAAGAGCCUGUAAGUUUCCCCCAGAUCACCAGACUUCAAUAUUAAAUUACUGUUUUCUGGCAGGAUCGUCCACAAAACUCUGAUUUUGUUUCUUUCUCUGUUCCCAUCCUGAUAAUUGUGGCUGAAUUCCCUUGUCUUUAAUAUGCCAUAUAUUCUCCACCUGGCAAAGGAUUCAGACAGAUACAGAUAAUAAAUACCCCGUAGACAUACAGACAGAGAAACGGCUGUAAUUGCUUUCAUAAUGACUCUGAGACAUCAAAGGAAGGCAAAUAAUGGUAUUUAACACUGUUUCCAUUCUUUAGCUGAAAUGUAAUUUUAUAGAGUUAUUGUCAGGCAGUACGGCGAACGUACAAGUACAACUGUCAUAUUCAGCUCAUAUUAAUUAGCUGCCCAUGAGAGGGCCAGGCGAGUAAUGGCAAAGUUCUCCUCAUUUCAGAUGGUCUGAUAUUCAGACAGAACCACAAGUACAAUAGCUUGAUUAACAUAGUUGCUUAGAUCAGGUUUUCCCUGGGAGUGUGUCAAUUGGCAUUUUGAAGAAUCAAUUAAUUAGCACUCCAAAUAAUCCAUUCUUGGGUUAAUGAAAGUGUUUUGUACAGCUGCAAAAAAUUACAUGAAGAAAAACUAAACCUUUCCAAAGUGGCAGUGAAAAAGAUUUAUCUUGGAAAACUGCAUUGUCCAUCUCAAAAUGCCAUCAAAAAUGUGUGCUUCCUUUCAAAGCCAGGGGGUGGACAUGUAUGGUUUUAAACUACAGUGGGUAUAUUUUGGCUAAGAAGAAGACAAGUGGUGGAUGCCACAGUGGUGAAAAAAUGAGAACUUUUAUUUUCACUAUUUUGUAAUUGUGUUAUUUAAUUAGGGUAAGUCAUGGUCAACGUUUUGCAUACCAUUAUCCACUAUUUUAAACAACUACUCUUUGAUGGCAAUAUGCUUAUUAACAUUUUUAAAAUGCCAGUAUCACAGAGAUACUCCUGCUUUUGAAAAUUCAAGAUAGAAUUCUCAAAUGAAAAUUACAAAUUAAAGAAGCAAAUUUUUAUGUAAUAAAGCACUCUUUACACCAAAGUUUAAAUUAUCAAUAAAUCAAACUGUGAAACUCUAGAUACCUUUGCCAUCAUCAAAAUGUUACUUUCAGCACAUCUUAUCAGUUCGCCCCUAUACUUAAAGUAAAUGCUAAUGCUGUCUUUUUUCUAACUCUCUGGGUCCAAAUUUUAAAGAACUUAAUUUUGUGGCAUGCUUUUUUAUUUCUGAAAUAACCUCAAUCAACCUUAUAAAAAUAUAAAAUAGUUUAUUUGGAAACUUAGCUGUCUCCGACUUCCAAAACUUAGUGUAAAUUAUAGAUGGUACUUAUAAAACAAUUCUUCCUUUAGGAAAUUCCACUUUUAUCAGCAUCCCUGAAGUAAAUAGUUUUUAAAUUAUGUUCGAGGCCCUUGAAAUGAAAAAUGUAAAAUAUUCAUCAAGUAAAAUGAGUGGUAGUAUCCACUAAAAAUUAUUUGGAAUUAAAAUGCAAAUUUUGACAUUUGUAUCAGUGGGUUUACUUUUUUAUUUUUUGGUGGUUUGAGAAAUGUGAUGUCUUACCAUUAAGUAAUUAGUAACUUUCUAAUUCAGUCUCAUUCAUAGAAUAUGACUACUGACUUAGGUAAAAAUCGGCAUAUUUAAAACAGGCUAUAACAAGUUUUUGCUGCUAUCAGAUGUAGAUUACCGUCCUUUAUCUUGUCUUAGUAUUUAGUAAAGUGUUGGGAGUUUCAUGAUGUAGAAGUACAUUUUCUUGCUUAUUAGGUGGAUGAGAGUUGUAGAGUUCAUUAUCAAUAGUAACUCUUGAAGGUUGAUCUAUCUAGCAUAUCCCCAAAUCAAGAAUACACAGAGAAAAAGUAAAACACGCACACACAUGUGCACACAGAAUUCAGUAGACGCAAACUGCUCUUAGGAUGAACAACGCUCUCAGUCGGAACUGUUUGGGUUCAGGGUUUAAGGAGGACCCGUGAGGCGACUGCUAGGCGUCUUCCUUCCCUGAGCUGUUGAGGCACGACCCCCACACCUUCCUCCUCUUCCUUCUGGGUGACCAAAUGAUGGGCAGGGGCUUGUUCCUAAUACGUUUGAAUGGAUGCCUGUGAGUUUCAGCAUCACCAGUUUAUUGCUUACCAUUUUAUUUUUUAAUGCUCUCGGAAAUGUAAAAUGGCAAAGUUUUGCUGUCACUGCUCACGGUGGACUUCAGCCAGCAACGAGAUCUAUUGCUUAUUUUGCUAAUCAGCUCCUUCCAUAUCUGCAUGCUCAUUUUCUGAUAGCUGAUGAGGCGACAAGGUCAUUGGACGUACAAGUACUUAUUUAAAAACAGACAUGAGAGUGAGAUAGAGGUUAGUUGGGUCUAUCAGAGCUGUCAAUCAAUUAAUGAAAAUUAUUGAGCAAGGACACUGUGGGGGAAGCGAACAGAAGGAGGGAAAAUGACCAUGGAGACACAGCAUAGGGAAAACGCCAGAACUGCCUCAGUGUGUUCACGUGAGCGCUGAAAACAGACAUGCUCACAUCCCAAGUGAGAGACAGCUCUGAGACACAGCCGCCGCAGUCCGCGGGCUGAAGGCACAGGGCUCUUGCCCAGACGUACAGCCUGAACGAUGCCUCUGCUCAGAUGCCGAGGGGGCAUCUGGGGGCCUGAUGAAUAUUUUAUUAACGCGUCCAAGGCCUGUGGCCAAGAUUCCGAGUCAUUUAAAGACACUGUUAUUGAGACCAAAGUCUGUGGUAAACAGAGGCUCGAGGAGUCCACACAGCUCCCUUCUUCCAGGGAAGGAAAUAUCAGAUCCCUACGUGUGUGACAGACGUGAGUAACACCAGAAAGGGCUUCACUAGGAUCUGCACACACACUAUCAUCACCUCUGCACACGCAGGCUGGUCCCAGGCUGGCACCGACCGUCUAUCAGCGCGAAAGAAAGAAAAUUCAUAAGCUGAUCCUUAGGGGAGGGGGAGAAUGGAGGAAUAGAAAAAAUGUACAAAUGAAAGGAAUGAGAGAGAAAGAGAGCGACUGAGGGAUGAGGGGAGAAAAAUUGCCAACAAGCUUGUGUGAAGGAAAGAUAGCGAGGGAGAAAGAGAGAAAGGGCUGCCGAGUCAAAAACAGGGAGAUACUGACACCAAAUCUCUGCAAAGCGUUCAAAAUUCUCCAGCUGCCACGCUUUUAAUUUGCUACCAUUCUAAUUAAAAUGCAAAUUAAAUUUAUAAUUAGCAUCAGCGCUUUCUAAAGAAGCCUUGUGCGCUGCACAAACAUAUGGGAUGAUGCCGUAGUGAAAAGUUUGUAAAAACAGAAGUAAUAGCACCAGGUCGGGACGGGGUGGGGUGGGGUGGGGUGGGGAGCUGUUCUUUCCCCUGGGAAAUAAGUUUGAUGCAGAGGCUUAAGGGGAAGGCAAGGGAGCGGCGUUUCUUAGAGGAGGAUGGAGGUGGGUGAAUGUCCCACGGCAACAAAAGGAUUGCUGAAUGUGGAAGAUGGCCCGGCCAGGGUGUGACUUUGUGUUGAGUCAGGUGUCAGGGGUUACCCUGCGUGUCAGGGGAUUGUAUAGGAGAUGCCAAAAGGCAAAUGGGGUCAAAGCUUCUAAUCAAAAAGUCUAUGGCCAAAAUUAACCGCUGCUUGCUUCCAGAUAAUUAAUUUAAAAAUUGAUGGGGAACAAAGUACCGAAAUCACCUCAUGAUUCGCACAUGUAUCAUGUGUGAAAAGUAAACUUUCUCCCCGACUUGCUGGCUGAAGCUGAAAGGUGGGUGGAGAUCCUGGAAGCAAGUUAACCAAAUGGUGGAUUUUCUGUGGUGCUGGGUUUGCUGAGGUGUUUGCUGAAUAUGCAGGUUUUUAUCCCUAGAAUGCUUCAAGCAUAAACGAAUGAAUCUGGUAUUUCUGUGAUUUUUCUUCAGGAAUAUAGUUGUGUUUAGUGAGGCUGAUGGAACAUAAACAGGAAACUUGCACCUGUAGUCAGAGAGGAGGAAAAAAAAAAAAACAGAAAAAACCUGCCACAAAAUUGCCCUUAUAUUCACCAGAGUUUGGUUCAAGAGGAUCUUUCUGAAUUAAAAAAAAUAAAUAAAAAUCUGCAGUCCUCAUGGUAAUUGUGCUUUCCUUUCCAGUGGAGGACCUUACCUGCACCUAAGUGUCUUUAAUAUUCCAGGAACUCUCCUUUAUCUAUUAACCAGGCUCUCCAUCAGAUAUUUUAAAAUUUGAAUGUAACAGGAAUGAAUAUUUCAUAGAUGUGUGUUAAGCUGUUAUUAAACUAUAAUGUAAAGCAGGAUUGCAGGAAUAUUUUUAUAUGUCAGAAAGUCAAUUAAAAUGAUAAGCCUGUAAUAUCAGUGUGGUGGAGCUGUACAAAAUGGCAUUUCAUAUGCACGGGAGGCCCUUAGCCACCUCGCAUGUGGGUGGCAGGCAGGACUGUUACAUAUUCAGAGGCCUGUGUACUUCAAUUUCAUUAGUAACACUUAGGUCCAUUUUCGGCAGAGAUUAAAUGGAGAGCUAUGGGGGAUAAAUCUUACCUGACUUGAUUUUUAUUUAGUAUUACAAAAAUGGCAUUAGGCAUUCUUAAAGGUAGGUGCUUACUGAAAUGCAUGGAGGAUUCAUUUGGAAAUAAAUGUCAAUCCCUAGAAGAGUGAGGUGCCCAUAAUAAAAUCUCUAGUGAGGAUGCCCCCCUUGACUUAAAUGAAAGAGAUGUAGUGUCUCCUGAAGAAAAACAUCACAAAAACUGAGAAUAGGGGAGGAAGUUGAAACUAACAGGGACCAUAUUAAUAUAGUACUUAAAAAAAAAAGUAGAUUGCUUUUUGUAGACUCUGAAAUAAAAAUAAGCUCUGUGCAAGGGAGUAUUUUUGGCUUUUGUUUGCAUACUCAGGCAGAAAUGUUUAUAAGUAUAGUUGGUUGAAUUACAUUAGAGUGCUUUAUAGAAAAUUAAAUGCUUUCCCAAACUUCCUUUGACCAACAGUUCUCCCCUGGGCAAUGGCCAUUGUCAAAAACGGGAUGCUAAAAGGUGGUCUGCAUGACAGGUCUGACAUAACUCAAUUAAUCAAGACUUCACCAAAGAAAGGAAAAUAAUUCUACCCAUACGGUGAUGAAAAGUGUUCUUCUGAUAUUCACUGAGUAGCAGUCCCUUAUUUUUUUUCCUGGUGUCUAAGAGGAAUGCAGGCUUCUUAAAUAAGUCUUCUGUUGUGAUGGACAAAAGGCUGAAAACUAUGGCAUAAAAGCAUUUCUUUGUUUAAUUUCUAAUUGUUGUCCUUCUCUUAUUCAGAAAAUGAAGUCACCUUUGUCGUGGUUUCAUGAACCGCUGGGUAAUCAAAAUUAUUAUGCUGCCACCUGUUGUCUGUUAAUUAUUCUGAGAAGAUACUCAUAAAUCAUAACACCGGACAAUAAAUCAAACUGUCAGCUCCCAGGUCAAAGGUGACCCAUGAAAAGUUAUAGGUCACCCACCGGGUGUGAAAGAGCAGGGUUUUAGAGCAUCACUCAUUGUCAGGCACUGUUGAGAGAAGUGCCGUCAGAACAAAAGGAAAACUGAAGUACAGGAGAAUUUCAGUCUGGGGACAGGCUUUGGGCUCCAGGCUCCAGCCCUAGUGAAACUGAACCUACAUUACACAUGAAUUGACCAGCAAGCUAGUGUGGUCAUGGCCCAGCUUGAGACCCACUGUUCUUUGAAACUGUAUGGCAAAUAGUGCUCUUUUUGGAAAACUCUAAAGAGUAACUAGUUAAGAACAUUAUCUUCUCUGUUUUCCUCUUCAUUGGUGAGUGUAUUGGAGAAAUUUGCGUUCUGCUGCAUUAUUCAUCAAGACAAUCACAAUAUGUCAAACUGUAGUUGACUGGAGGAUGCUUUUGAAUGUCUUACUUCCUAAAUUAAUUUGGCUUGGAAUAUGUUUUCCUUGUGGUGUGACAAGAACUUGAACCACAUUUAACAUUUUCAACUCAUUUCUUUUCAGUCGCCGGUAUUGAAAAUAACAUCAUCACUUCAAACCAGUGUGUGUUGAUGAAUAUCCUUGAUUUAAAACCUGGCUAGGGGUAAAUUAUUUCUGAUGUGGUGGAAGCAACUUUAAGGUAAGACAUAAUAAAGACAUAAUGACAAAGCAGCUGGGGAACAGAACUAAUGUUCCAGUUGGGAAACGCAUUGCCUGUUAUUUGAAUUAAAUUCUGUAAAAUGGACAUCAUGCUGUCAUUAAAAAUUUCUCUCCAAGACAUUAAUUUUUUUUCCUUUGGGUUAAUUUGUUAUUUUCUGUUUGAAUAAUCCUCAUGAGGCUUUCCUCAUGAGGAAUAGGAGUACCAUCAGAAUGUCAAAUGGAGCCUGAUUUUUUUUUUUUAAAGGACACACUAUGGUCUUUGUUUAAAUCAUACACAUCAGAACCAACACUCCAAAAGACUAUCCUCCAGAACAGACUCUGAUCCACUUUCUUUUUCACUCUAGCAAGCCAUUAUUUUCCCAUUUUUGAGGCAAGUGACUCAUAAAAAUAUGUCAGGAGACCUUGGAGGUCAAAGCAUGUUCACUGAUCCAGCUUUAACCAUGACUGAAUAUGUAUACAUGGGGGUCACAUAGUUUCAUUCUAAAAUCACAACAAAAUGCCUUGUGGAUGCUGGGGCUACCACGGAGUGAAUUCAGCACUUAACCCACUAGCAAGCUAUUCUGCAGACUGACAAUGUCCUCGAGUACUAAAGUCAUGUUAUUUGGCAAUUCUCCAAUCAUCUCAUCAAAAUGGGAUUUGCUGAAGCUCUUCUGAUCACCUUUGCAAGUUUACUGUGUUGAAGUUGUAGGUACGUUCUUCCAGGCUGCCGGCGUGGAAAUUAUGAACAGAGACUUCCCUAGUUUCCUCUCCAAGCAGAGCUGAGAGCUUCCAUUCAUUUGAUACUGAUGCACUGAAAACCUGCUAGAAACCAGACAUUAUAUCAGGACCCUGUGCCAAGAACAUUCACUAGGCAAGGAGAGUUUCCACUGGGCCAAACGUUGUAUGAAAGGCAAGGUCUUGGAACUUGCUGCAAAUGGGUUAACUUACCCAGCUGAAGCUGAAAUUCCAAUACUUUGGCCACCUGAUGUGAAG